AACGAACUGGUCAAUUUAUUGAGCAGUUAGUGGCGAAAGGGUGCGUAAUGGAUAGGUAAUGUACCCCGUGCUUCGGGAUAGCGCCGUUCGUCUUCGGGCGAACUACCGAAAGGGGCGGUAAUACCGGAUAAUAUCAUUUGUCGACGGGCGAAUGAUCAAAGAUUUAUCGGCACAGGAGCGGCCUAUCUCCUAUCAGCUUGUUGGUGAGGUAAUGGCUCACCAAGGCUGCGACGGGUAGCGGGACUGAGAGGUUGGACCGCCUCAUCGGGACUGAGACACUGCCCGGACCUCCACGGAGGGCUGCAGUAACGAAUCUUGCGCAAUGGGCGAAAGCCUGACGCAGCGACGCCGCGUGUAGGAGGAAGUCUUUCGGGAUGUAAACUACUGUCAGGGGUAAGAAAGUCCGCUCCGGCGGAUUGAUCUAACCCAAAGGAAGUCACGGCUAACUUCGUGCCAGCAGCCGCGGUAAGACGAAGGUGGCGAGCGUUGUUCGGUGUCACUGGGCUUAAAGCGUGUGUAGGCGGAAAAGUAAGCGUUCUGUGAAAGCCCUCGGCUUAACCGAGGAAUUGCUUGACGAACUGCUUUUCUUGAGGCAAGUAGGGGUGCAUGGAACUCUUGGUGGAGCGGUGGAAUGCGUAGAUAUCAAGAGGAACGCCAGUGGUGAAAACGGUGCACUGGGCUUGUCCUGACGCUGAGACACGAAAGCGUGGGGAGCGAACGGGAUUAGAUACCCCGGUAGUCCACGCCGUAAACGAUGUCUACUAGGUUGUGGAGGUUCUGACACCUGCACGGCCGAAGCAAAAGUGUUAAGUAGACCGCCUGGGGAGUACGGUCGCAAGGCUAAAACUCAAAGGAAUUGACGGGGGCUCACACAAGCGGUGGAGCAUGUGGAUCAAUUCGAAGCAACGCGCAGAACCUUACCUGGGUUUGACAUGCUUGGAUGCCCCCCCCGAAAGGGGGCUCGGCUGCCCUUCGGGGUGAAACUUGCACAGGUGCUGCAUGGCUGUCGUCAGCUCGUGUCGUGAGAUGUCGGGUUAAGUCCCAUAACGAGCGAAACCCUUGCCGUUAGUUGCCAGCGGGUAAUGCCGGGGACUCUAGCGGGACUGCCGGUGUGAAACCGGAGGAAGGUGGGGAUGACGUCAAGUCAUCAUGGCCUUUAUACCCAGGGCUUCACACGUGCUACAAUGGCGGCAACAAAGCGACGCAAGACCGCGAGGUGGAGCAAAUCGCAAAAAUGUCGCCCCAGUUCGGAUUGCAGGCUGGCAACUCGCCUGCAUGAAGUCGGAAUCGCUAGUAAUCGCGUAUCAGCGACGACGCGGUGAAUAUGUUCCUGAGCCUUGUACACACCGCCCGUCAAGUGAUGGGAGUUGGGAGUACCCGAAGUCGGUUUGCUAACCCAGUUUACUGGGAAGCGGCUGCCGACGGUAAGCCCGAUGACUGGCACU
rnacentral:rRNA from 1 species